rfam:Camelus ferus unplaced genomic scaffold scaffold1938, whole genome shotgun sequence.
GUGGGUAUAGCUCAGUGGUAGAGCACAUUCUUAACAUGCAUGAGGUCCUGGAUUCAGUCCCCAGUAUUUCCG